UACGGAGGGUGCGAGCGUUGUCCGGAAUCACUGGGCGUAAAGGGCGCGUAGGCGGCCUGGUAAGUAGGGGGUGAAAUCCUGCGGCUUAACCGCAGGGCUGCCUUCUAAACUGUCAGGCUCGAGCACGGUAGAGGCAGAUGGAAUUCCCGGUGUAGCGGUGGAAUGCGUAGAUAUCAGGAGGAACACCGGUGGCGAAGGCGGAUCUCUGGGCCAUUACUGACGCUGAGGAGCGAAAGCGUGGGGAGCGAACAGG
rnacentral:rRNA from 1 species